rnacentral:rRNA from 1 species
CCUACGGGAGGCAGCAGUGAGGAAUAUUGGUCAAUGGGCGAGAGCCUGAAGCAGCCAAGUCGCGUGAGGGAAGACGGUCCUAUGGAUUGUAAACCUCUUUUGCCGGGGAGCAAAAAGCGGUACGUGUACCGCAUCGAGAGUACCCGGAGAAAAAGCAUCGGCUAACUCCGUGCCAGCAGCCGCGGUAAUACGGAGGAUGCGAGCGUUAUCCGGAUUUAUUGGGUUUAAAGGGUGCGCAGGUGGCGAGUUAAGUCAGCGGUAAAAUUUCGGGGCUCAACCCCGACAAGCCGUUGAAACUGGCGUGCUAGAGUGGGCGAGAAGUAUGCGGAAUGCGUGGUGUAGCGGUGAAAUGCAUAGAUAUCACGCAGAACUCCGAUUGCGAAGGCAGCAUACCGGCGCCCAACUGACGCUCAGGCACGAAAGCGUGGGUAUCGAACAGGAUUAGAUACCCCUGUAGUC